GAUGAACGCUGGCGGCGUGCCUAAUACAUGCAAGUCGAGCGAACGGACGAGAAGCUUGCUUCUCUGAUGUUAGCGGCGGACGGGUGAGUAACACGUGGAUAACCUACCUAUAAGACUGGGAUAACUUCGGGAAACCGGAGCUAAUACCGGAUAAUAUUUUGAACCGCAUGGUUCAAAAGUGAAAGACGGUCUUGCUGUCACUUAUAGAUGGAUCCGCGCUGCAUUAGCUAGUUGGUAAGGUAACGGCUUACCAAGGCAACGAUGCAUAGCCGACCUGAGAGGGUGAUCGGCCACACUGGAACUGAGACACGGUCCAGACUCCUACGGGAGGCAGCAGUGGGGAAUCGUCCGCAAUGGGCGAAAGCCUGACGGAGCAACGCCGCGUGAGUGAUGAAGGUCUUCGGAUCGUAAAACUCUGUUAUUAGGGAAGAACAUAUGUGUAAGUAACUGUGCACAUCUUGACGGUACCUAAUCAGAAAGCCACGGCUAACUACGUG
rnacentral:rRNA from 1 species